AGAUUGAACGCUAGCGGGAUGCUUUACACAUGCAAGUCGAACGGCAGCGCGGACUUCGGUCUGGCGGCGAGUGGCGAACGGGUGAGUAAUAUAUCGGAACGUGCCCAGUAGCGGGGGAUAACUACGCGAAAGCGUGGCUAAUACCGCAUACGCCCUACGGGGGAAAGGGGGGAUUCUUCGGAACCUCUCACUAUUGGAGCGGCCGAUAUCAGAUUAGCUAGUUGGUGAGGUAAAGGCUCACCAAGGCGACGAUCUGUAGCUGGUUUGAGGAGGACGACCAGCCACACUGGGACUGAGACACGGCCCAGACUCCUACGGGAGGCAGCAGGUGGGAAUUUGGACAAGUGGGGGAAACCCUGAAUCCAGCCAUCCCGCGUGUGCGAUGAA
rnacentral:rRNA from 1 species